rnacentral:rRNA from 1 species
GACAGAGGCGGCAAGCGUUGUUCGGAUUUAUUGGGUGUAAAGGGCAGGUAGGUGGCCUUGCAAGUCCGAUGUGAAAUCCCACGGCUCAACCGUGGAACUGCAUUGGAAACUGCUUGGCUUGAGUAUCGGAGAGGUAAGGGGAAUUCCCGGUGUAAGGGUGAAAUCUGUAGAUAUCGGGAGGAAUACCAGUGGCGAAGGCGCCUUACUGGCCGAUUACUGACACUGAGCUGCGAAAGCUAGGGGAG